GAUGGUAUAGCUCAGUGGUAGGUCACUUGCCUGGCAUGCAUGAGGCCCUGGGUUCAAUCCGCAGCACCACCC
rnacentral:tRNA from 1 species